GAAAUGGGAACUAGAUUUAGUGUAGUCAAAUUUGCAUUUAUCUAUACAAUAACUGUAUUUCUAGUGGUCAAAUGAAGAUUAUACAAUUCAUAUUUUAAAUAUGUGUUUUAUCUUUGAUUUACCUAAAAUAUGAACCAUCUGAUCUUUAUCAAGCUGUUCAAAAUUUCUAAAGUGUGUGUGAUGCGUAAAUAUAGUACUCACA
rnacentral:lncRNA from 1 species